rnacentral:rRNA from 1 species
GUGCCAGCAGCCGCGGUAAUACGUAGGGUGCGAGCGUUUAAUCGGAAUUUACUGGGCGUAAAGCGUGCGCAGGCGGUUUUGCUAAGACCGAUGUGAAAUCCCCGGGCUCAACCUGGGAACUGCAUUGGUGACUGGCAGGCUAGAGUAUGGCAGAGGGGGGGGUAGAAUUCCACGUGUAGCAGUGAAAUGCGUAGAGAUGUGGAGGAAUACCGAUGGCGAAGGCAGCCCCCUGGGCCAAUACUGACGCUCAUGCACGAAAGCGUGGGGAGCAAACAGGAUUAGAUACCCUGGUAGUCC